GUAAUUUUGGCGUUAAAAAAAUUAUCGGCAAGUAUUAACAUUUUGAUGACGUUUGACAUAUAGAUUCUACAAUAUUUAUUCACUCUUUUUCUGUGAUGAUUUUUAUACGCCCGUCGUCUUUUAGACGGGACGUAUUAUGGUAUCCCGUUGUCCGUCCGUCCGUCCGUCCGUCCGUCCGUCCGUCCGUCCGUCCGUCGUCCACACUUCGGACAAUAACUCAAAAACACUUUCACCAAUUUCCAUGAAACUUAAGUGAAUUGUUUAUAUCUAUUGACGUAAGCUCCCUUUCGUUUUUUUUUAAUUUCAGAUUUUAAGUUUUGGAUUUAUGGGGCUUUAUUCAUAAAAAAGGGGGAUUUUCAACACUUCGGACAAUAACUCAAAAAGGCUUUCACCAAUGUCCAUGAAACUUUGGUGAAUUGUUUAUAUCUAUUGAUGUAAGCUCCCUUUCAAUUUUUAUAAAUUUCAGAUUUUAAGUUUUGGAUUUAUGGGGCUUUUAUUCAUAAAAAAAGGGGGAUUUUCAACACUUCGGACAAUAACUCAAAAAGGCUUUCACCAAUGUCCAUGAAACUGUGGUGAAUUGUUUAUAUCUAUUGAUGAAAGCUCCCUUUCAAUUUUUAUAAAUUUCAGAUUUUAAGUUUUGGAUUUAUGGGGCUUUAUUCAUAAAAAAAGGGGGAUUUUCAACACUUCGGACAAUAACUAAAAAGGCUUUCACCAAUGUCCAUGAAACUUUGGUGAAUUGUUUAUAUCUAUUGAUGUAAGCUCCCUUUUAAUUUUUAUAAAUUUCAGAUUUUAAGUUUUGGAUUUAUGGGGCUUUAUUCAUAAAAAAGGGGGGAUUUUCAACACUUCGGACAAUAACUCAAAAAGGCUUUCACCAAUGUCCAUGAAACUUUAGUGAAUCGUUUAUAUCUAUUAAUGUAAGCUCCCUUUCAAUUUUUAUAAAUUUCAGAUUUUAAGUUUUAGAUUUAUAGGGCUUUAUUCAUAAAAAAAGGGGGAUUUUCAACACUUCAGACAAUAACUCAAAAAGGCUUUCACCAAUGUUCAUGAAACUUUGGUGAAUUGUUUAUAUCUAUCGAUGAAAGCUCCCUUUCAAUUCUUAUAAAUUUCAGAUUUUAAGUUUUGGAUUUAUGGGGCUUUAUUCAUAAAAAAAAAAGGGGAUUUUCAACACUUCAGACAAUAACUCAAAAAGGCUUUCACCAAUGUCCAUGAAACUUUGGUGAAUUGUUUAUAUCUAUUGAUGUAAGCUCCCUUUCAAUUUUUAUAAAUUUCAGAUUUUACAUUUCCGUGUUAUGAAUUUUUAUGCUUAAAAAAGGGGGGGGG
rnacentral:lncRNA from 1 species